GACCGCGGAUGGAGGGCCGCUCUUCCCGCAAGGGAGGGGAGGAACUUCCGAACUUCACAGGGCAGGGUGCCGGUUCAAAGCCGUUAAGCGGCUAUAGGCCGGGAGGCGGGGGCCAGAUCCUCCGUCGACGGACAGCGCCACAGAGAACAUACCGCCCGCAAGGGUAAGGGUGAAAAGGUGCGGUAAGAGCGCACCGCCCGCCGGGCGACCGGCGGGGCAGGGCAAGCCCCUCCUGAAGCAAGGCCAAAGUUGCGCUACGGAUAGCCCGUCCAUUCCCGCCGCAAGGCGGGGAAGCGCAGAGUGGGCCGCAAUAGAUAAAUGGUCCUCCAGGCGCCGCAAGGCGCCGGACAGAAUUCGGGGUACAGUCCGCGGUCUAAA
rnacentral:RNase_P_RNA from 3 species